rnacentral:rRNA from 1 species
GAAACGACUGCUAAGACUGGAUAGGAGACAAGAAGGCAUCUUCUUGUUUUUAAAAGACCUAGCAAUAGGUAUGCUUAGGGAGGAGCUUGCGUCACAUUAGUUAGUUGGUGGGGUAAAGGCCUACCAAGACUAUGAUGUGUAGCCGGGCUGAGAGGUUGAACGGCCACAUUGGGACUGAGACACGGCCCAAACUCCUACGGGAGGCAGCAGUAGGGAAUUUUCGGCAAUGGAGGAAACUCUGACCGAGCAACGCCGCGUGAACGAUGAAGUAUUUCGGUACGUAAAGUUCUUUUAUUAGGGAAGAAUAAAUGAUGGAAAAAUCAUUCUGACGGUACCUAAUGAAUAAGCCCCGGCUAACUAUGUGCCAGCAGCCGCGGUAAUACAUAGGGGGCAAGCGUUAUCCGGAAUUAUUGGGCGUAAAGGGUGCGUAGGCGGUUAAAUAAGUUUAUGGUCUAAGUGCAAUGCUCAACAUUGUGAUGCUAUAAAAACUGUUUAGCUAGAGUAAGAUAGAGGCAAGUGGAAUUCCAUGUGUAGUGGUAAAAUGCGUAAAUAUAUGGAGGAACACCAGUAGCGAAGGCGGCUUGCUGGGUCUUUACUGACGCUGAGGCACGAAAGCGUGGGGAGCAAACAGGAUUAGAUACCCUGGUAGUCCACGCCGUAAACGAUGAGUACUAAACGUUGGGUAAAACCAGUGUUGAAGUUAACACAUUAAGUACUCCGCCUGAGUAGUACGUACGCAAGUAUGAAACUUAAAGGAAUUGACGGGACUCCGCACAAGCGGUGGAUCAUGUUGUUUAAUUCGAAGGUACCCGAAAAACCUCACCAGGUCUUGACAUGCUUCUGCAAAGCUGUAGAAACACAGUGGAGGUUAUCAGUUGCACAGGUGGUGCAUGGUUGUCGUCAGCUCGUGUCGUGAGAUGUUGGGUUAAGUCCCGCAACGAGCGCAACUCCUUAUUGUUAGUUACCAGCACGUAAUGGUGGGGACUUUAGCAAGACUGCCAGUGAUAAAUUGGAGGAAGGUGGGGACGACGUCAAAUCAUCAUGCCCCUUAUGACCUGGGCUACAAACGUGAUACAAUGGCUGUUACAAAGGGUAGCUGAAGCGCAAGUUUUUGGCGAAUCUCAAAAAAACAGUCUCAGUUCGGAUUGAAGUCUGCAACUCGACUUCAUGAAGUUGGAAUCGCUAGUAAUCGCGAAUCAGCAUGUCGCGGUGAAUACGUUCGCGGGGUUUGUACACACCGCCCGUCA